rnacentral:ncRNA from 1 species
GCGGUCCCGGUUCACGGCGCCUCCCGGCGGCGACCCGGCGGCC